rfam:Jatropha curcas cultivar GZQX0401 scaffold165_88, whole genome shotgun sequence.
GUUGCAGAGCCAUUUUGGCAUUCUGUCCACCUCCUUUUAAGAGGUUUUUACUUUCCACUUGAUAUAAUUCUUGGAGGUGGCCAGCAUGUCAAACUGGCUGUGUAAA